GCGGAGCUAGCUCAGCUGGUUAGAGCAUCACGUUGACAUCGUGGGGGUCGGUGGUUCGAGUCCACUGUUCCGCA
rnacentral:tRNA from 1 species